rnacentral:rRNA from 1 species
GACAGAGGAUGCAAGCGUUAUCCGGAAUGAUUGGGCGUAAAGCGUCUGUAGGUGGCUUUUCAAGUCCGCCGUCAAAUCCCAGGGCUCAACCCUGGACAGGCGGUGGAAACUACCAAGCUGGAGUACGGUAGGGGCAGAGGGAAUUUCCGGUGGAGCGGUGAAAUGCUUAGAUAUGACAUAGAACACCAAUUGCGAAGGCAGCUCGUUACACGAAUAUUGACUCUGAGGCACGAAAGCGUGGGGAUCAAACAGG